rnacentral:rRNA from 1 species
UACGUAGGGUGCAAGCGUUGUCCGGAAUUAUUGGGCGUAAAGAGCUCGUAGGCGGUUUGUCGCGUCUGCUGUGAAAACUCGGGGCUUAACUCCGGGCCUGCAGUGGGUACGGGCAGACUGGAGUUCGGCAGGGGAGACUGGAAUUCCUGGUGUAGCGGUGAAAUGCGCAGAUAUCAGGAGGAACACCGGUGGCGAAGGCGGGUCUCUGGGCCGAUACUGACGCUGAGGAGCGAAAGCGUGGGGAGCAAACAGG